rnacentral:tRNA from 1 species
CGCAGCGUGGGGGAGGAGCGACCCCGCGAGGUUCAUGUCCUCGAGACGCCGGUGCGACUCCGGCCGCUGCUACCA